rnacentral:rRNA from 1 species
CAGUAGCCACGGUAAUGCGAGGGGGGCAAGCGUUGUUCGGAAUUAUUGGGCGUAAAGGGUGCGUAGGCGGUUUGAUAAGUCAUCUGUGAAAUCUCUGGGCUCAACCUAGAGUCUGCAGGCGAAACUGUCGGGCUUGAGUAUGGGAGAGGUGAGUGGAAUUUCCGGUGUAGCGGUGAAAUGCGCUGAGAUCGGAAAGAACACCAACGGCGAAAGCACUCUGCUGGGCCGACACUGACACUGAGAGACGAAAGCUAGGGGAGCAAAUGGGAUUAGAUACCCCCGUAGUCCCUGUCUCUUAUAC